rnacentral:sRNA from 1 species
ACAGGCACCAGGGCCAUGGUUUCUACUGACCUCAUGUCCAUUCUGCAGGCGGAACAUGUUCCCCCAUAUGACGUGGUGCCCUCCAUGCGGCCUGUGGUGCUGGUGGGACCCUCUCUGAAAGGUUAUGAGGUCACAGACAUGAUGCAGAAGGCUCUCUUCGACUUCCUCAAACACAGAUUUGAUGGCAGGAUCUCCAUCACCCGAGUCACAGCCGACCUCUCCCUGGCAAAGCGAUCUGUGCUCAACAAUCCUGGCAAGAGGACCAUCAUUGAGCGCUCCUCUGCCCGCUCCAGCAUUGCUAGUAGUGUUGGACGCUGACACCAUCAACCACCCAGCACAGCUGGCCAAGACCUCGCUGGCCCCCAUCAUCGUCUUUGUCAAAGUGUCCUCACCAAAGGUACUCCAGCGUCUCAUUCGCUCCCGGGGGAAGUCACAGAUGAAGCACCUGACCGUACAGAUGAUGGCAUAUGAUAAGCUGGUUCAGUGCCCACCGGAGUCAUUUGAUGUGAUUCUGGAUGAGAACCAGCUGGAGGAUGCCUGUGAGCACCUGGCUGAGUACCUGGAGGUUUACUGGCGGGCCACGCACCACCCAGCCCCUGGCCCCGGACUUCUGGGUCCUCCCAGUGCCAUCCCCGGACUUCAGAACCAGCAGCUGCUGGGGGAGCGUGGCGAGGAGCACUCCCCCCUUGAGCGGGACAGCUUGAUGCCCUCUGAUGAGGCCAGCGAGAGCUCCCGCCAAGCCUGGACAGGAUCUUCACAGCGUAGCUCCCGCCACCUGGAGGAGGACUAUGCAGAUGCCUACCAGGACCUGUACCAGCCUCACCACCAACACACCUCGGGGCUGCCUAGUGCUAACGGGCAUGACCCCCAAGACCGGCUUCUAGCCCAGGACUCAGAGCACAACCACAAUGACCGGAACUGGCAGCG